rnacentral:rRNA from 1 species
ACGUACACUCCUACGGGAGGCAGCAGUGGGGAAUAUUGCACAAUGGGCGCAAGCCUGAUGCAGCCAUGCCGCGUGUAUGAAGAAGGCCUUCGGGUUGUAAAGUACUUUCAGCGGGGAGGAAGGCGAUAAGGUUAAUAACCUUGUCGAUUGACGUUACCCGCAGAAGAAGCACCGGCUAACUCCGUGCCAGCAGCCGCGGUAAUACGGAGGGUGCAAGCGUUAAUCGGAAUUACUGGGCGUAAAGCGCACGCAGGCGGUCUGUCAAGUCGGAUGUGAAAUCCCCGGGCUCAACCUGGGAACUGCAUUCGAAACUGGCAGGCUAGAGUCUUGUAGAGGGGGGUAGAAUUCCAGGUGUAGCGGUGAAAUGCGUAGAGAUCUGGAGGAAUACCGGUGGCGAAGGCGGCCCCCUGGACAAAGACUGACGCUCAGGUGCGAAAGCGUGGGGAGCAAACAGGAUUAGAAACCCGUGUAGUCCCAUG